GGGGGUGCAAGCGUUGUUCGGAAUUAUUGGGCGUAAAGCGCGUGUAGGCGGUCUGAUUAGUCUGAUGUGAAAGCCCUGGGCUCAACCCAGGAAGUGCAUUGGAUACUGUCAGACUUGAAUACGGGAGAGGGUAGUGGAAUUCCUAGUGUAGGAGUGAAAUCCGUAGAUAUUAGGAGGAACACCGGUGGCGAAGGCGGCUACCUGGACCGAUAUUGACGCUGAGACGCGAAAGCGUGGGUAGCAAACAGGAUUAGAUACCCUGGUAGUCCACGCUGUAAACGAUGAACACUUGGUGUGGAGGGAGUUGACCCCUUCCGUGCCGGAGCUAACGCGUUAAGUGUUCCGCCUGGGGAGUACGGUCGCAAGGCUGAAACUCAAAUGAAUUGACGGA
rnacentral:rRNA from 1 species